UUUGCACUGAUGUCAAUCCCCUGCUACUGAUGCCAGCCAGCUGUGACAGCUGAGUCCAGUGCCACCCACGGUUGACCUGCCCUGAAUGUCAACAGUACCCCGUGGACUCAGAUGUUGUGCUCAGAACUUGUACUGCGUGGUGACAGCCCAAUGGCUACAGAAGAAAGCAAUAGGAGUUCGUGAUCUACUUGGAAAGACAAGACUAACACAACUGGAGAAAUGAAACGAAAUAGUUAAAAAAAGAAAGAAAGAAAAUUUCAGCAAAAAUGCAUCACCACCUUCCAAAGGAGAAGCUGCAGAUGAAACCAACAGCCAAUUAAAUCAGAACAAAUGACUUGCUGAUUUCUAAAGUUUCUUCUGACUCUACCAUCUAAGAUUGCUCAACUGCAUCAAUGGCAAAAUGAUGAAAGGAUUUGAGAUAAGGAAAUUGAGGCACAGAGACGUUAUACUUGCUGUGGUCACAAAGCUUGUAAGUGGGAAAGCAGAGAUCCAACCCUGGCAGUCU